UACGUAGGGUGCAAGCGUUAAUCGGAAUUACUGGGCGUAAAGCGUGCGCAGGCGGUUGUGCAAGACAGAUGUGAAAUCCCCGGGCUUAACCUGGGAACUGCAUUUGUGACUGCACAGCUGGAGUGCGGCAGAGGGGGAUGGAAUUCCGCGUGUAGCAGUGAAAUGCGUAGAGAUGUGGAGGAACACCGAUGGCGAAGGCAGCCCCCUGGGCUGAGAUUGACGCUCAGGCACGAAAGCGUGGGGAGCAAACAGG
rnacentral:rRNA from 1 species